rnacentral:misc_RNA from 1 species
AAGACUAUAGACCUGCGGAGUACCUGCGGAGGGAUCAUUACUGGGUUUUAUUCAAAAACACCCACCCUCUGUCAUCUUGUACUCUGACUUGUUUCGGCCCCCCUAACCAGUGGGUCGGCAGCAACUCUGAAGAAAAAUCUUGAAGUCUGAUAAAACAAUGAGAAAUCUGAAUAAAAACUUUUAACAAUGGAUCUCU